GACACAUCUAAAAACUGCAGGACGCCGGCCCCUAAGGCCUGGAGUUGGGGACCCCUGUUGUAGGGUCUUACCAGGGACUACAGGCAUAUUUACAUGAUGAAUCACUCUGUACUGCACUACUUACUCUGUUGGGCUGGAUAUUAGCUGCUUCCAUCUUGGCCAGGAAGUCAGUGGGGGAGAAUUUGAACUCAUUCUGCAGAUAUCAUGGAAGAUGCGCAGCAGCAGGGUCUUGGUAAUACGACCGGUCCUCCUCACAGAGCUGUCCAGCCUGGUCAGAGCCCAGUCAAACUGCUGCGCUUGCUUGGAGCGCACUGCAAUGCUGGCUUCAUCCUUUUGCUCAGUGGCCACAGAAAAACUACGCACACACCCCGCUGCAUAUGACCACACGCGACUGUGGAGAAGAAGGCCACAGGGUCCCAGGGGGUUGGAGUAUUUCCCAGCUGCCAUAGGGCGAGAGGUGCAGGACACCCUGGGCAGUUUCAGGGGCAUUUCCAGUCAGAGGGGCUAAAGGGCUGUUUGCUAUGAGGUGAUUGUCUCCUGUAGGGGGGUCAAGCAUGGUAAAGGUCAUGCAGGUGGGGAGUUGUCAGAUGGCUGUCCACCCCUCACUGGGCCAAGGGGCUCUCGUGCCGCCUGUCAAAGCCUGUGGCGAAGCAGGGAGAAGAAAGGGUGUCUGGAGACGACGUGUGCCAUGCUGUCUUGGCCCCGCCCCUGGCUGCCGUGCCAGCAGUUCUAGGAGACUGACUGUGUAUCGGUGUAUCACCCGCAUCCAUCUCUCUAACCUCCAGCCCUGCCUUCCCUCAUCCCCACGAGAGGGAGCAGCAGAUCAAGAAAAGGGGAAAGAUUCGUGGAAGGAGGGAGGAAGCGAAAGAGAAGUGUUUCUGUGUCCCAAAGGAUUGGUCUCUGUCUGUCUAAAUCAGGAAGUGAGAAUGUGACGGCAGGAGAGACAGAGCAGAGACAUCCUUUCAGUGUGUGUGUGUGUGUGUGUGUGUGUGCACCUUGUUGAGCUGAGGUGUCAUAUAUGUGAAGAUCACAGCUUCACGCUGGUGGCAACCAGGGAUGAUGCUCUAAAUCACUGAAAUGCCAGAGACAACCGUUGUGAUAUGGGCCGUGUCUGUGUGUGUUUGUGCGCGUGAAUGUCUUUUGGGACAUUUGAUGGAGAUUAAUACCACUUUUAGAGUCUGAAAGUGAAAAUGUUAUCAAGUAUGUCACCUUGGAAAAAAAAAAGUGUGUGACAUUGUCUCAUAUAGACACACACACUUGCACAAGGGGUCUAGAUCACCAGUUUUCAGCCUUUUGUGUCUAGUGUAUUUGAAAAGCCUUAUUGAAUUGAAGCACCCCUUCACUGACCAUUCAUGAAACUCUCAUGUUGAAAAUGUGAUCAUUUUAAUUGAUUUUUUUGUUAUUUAACAACCAUAAUAAUUUAAAGCACAAAUAGUAGCCUCGAUUUUUCAAGCAUGCAUCUAUUCAUUUUAAUUCCCAUGAUAUUUAUUUUCAUUACAAACAUUUGUCCAUGCUUUUUUAUGUAAAUGUAAACAAGUAAAAAAACACUACUAUGUUUAGUUUUUGUUUUAUUUUGGUUAUCUAUAAAUAUUCUCCCCAUCUUACUAAGUUUGGUUGGGAAUCAAAUUAUUCAUAAUGCUCACUAUCCCCAGCAUAUGCACACACACACAAACACACCUAGCAACAUAACAUUCGCUGCCUUCCUUGGAUGAAUAAUUAGAUGGACACGGAGCUGUCUCUCUGUUUUCCCCUCACACAUUAAGCUACAUGAAUGUAGGCCAACUCACUGUCGACUUCACUUGCCUCUCAUCACAAUCAAAACAACACAUAGAUGUUGUCUUCUCUUGUUCAUCAACCUCUGUCUAUCCCUUGUUACCUCUAUCUAUCUUUAACUUUCUCUUUCAUGAGGUGUGAGUCACGAAGAAUUGUCUUGCAGAUCAGCAGCACAACUGUCCCCAAGAAGAGGCAACAUACACAGACUCACACACACUGACGUUGAUAUAGUCAUAGUCACAUCAUUAUAUCUGCAUUAGCAGGGAAAGCCCUUCACGCUCCAACACCUACAUGUCUUCAGUGCAGCGUCUCAUGUGUGUUGUAACUGAUUUACAUUGUCCCUGUUCUAUCUUGACAGAUCAUGCUCAGGAAAUAUGUAGUACAUGGCAUAUUAU